AAAUUGAAGAGUUUGAUCAUGGCUCAGAUUGAACGCUGGCGGCAGGCCUAACACAUGCAAGUCGAGCGGUAGCACAGAGAGCUUGCUCUCGGGUGACGAGCGGCGGACGGGUGAGUAAUGUCUGGGAAACUGCCUGAUGGAGGGGGAUAACUACUGGAAACGGUAGCUAAUACCGCAUAAUGUCGCAAGACCAAAGUGGGGGACCUUCGGGCCUCAUGCCAUCAGAUGUGCCCAGAUGGGAUUAGCUAGUAGGUGGGGUAACGGCUCACCUAGGCGACGAUCCCUAGCUGGUCUGAGAGGAUGACCAGCCACACUGGAACUGAGACACGGUCCAGACUCCUACGGGAGGCAGCAGUGGGGAAUAUUGCACAAUGGGCGCAAGCCUGAUGCAGCCAUGCCGCGUGUGUGAAGAAGGCCUUCGGGUUGUAAAGCACUUUCAGCGGGGAGGAAGGCGGUGAGGUUAAUAACCUCACCGAUUGACGUUACCCGCAGAAGAAGCACCGGCUAACUCCGUGCCAGCAGCCGCGGUAAUACGGAGGGUGCAAGCGUUAAUCGGAAUUACUGGGCGUAAAGCGCACGCAGGCGGUCUGUCAAGUCGGAUGUGAAAUCCCCGGGCUCAACCUGGGAACUGCAUUCGAAACUGGCAGGCUAGAGUCUUGUAGAGGGGGGUAGAAUUCCAGGUGUAGCGGUGAAAUGCGUAGAGAUCUGGAGGAAUACCGGUGGCGAAGGCGGCCCCCUGGACAAAGACUGACGCUCAGGUGCGAAAGCGUGGGGAGCAAACAGGAUUAGAUACCCUGGUAGUCCACGCCGUAAACGAUGUCGAUUUGGAGGUUGUGCCCUUGAGGCGUGGCUUCCGGAGCUAACGCGUUAAAUCGACCGCCUGGGGAGUACGGCCGCAAGGUUAAAACUCAAAUGAAUUGACGGGGGCCCGCACAAGCGGUGGAGCAUGUGGUUUAAUUCGAUGCAACGCGAAGAACCUUACCUGGUCUUGACAUCCACAGAACUUUCCAGAGAUGGAUUGGUGCCUUCGGGAACUGUGAGACAGGUGCUGCAUGGCUGUCGUCAGCUCGUGUUGUGAAAUGUUGGGUUAAGUCCCGCAACGAGCGCAACCCUUAUCCUUUGUUGCCAGCGGUUAGGCCGGGAACUCAAAGGAGACUGCCAGUGAUAAACUGGAGGAAGGUGGGGAUGACGUCAAGUCAUCAUGGCCCUUACGACCAGGGCUACACACGUGCUACAAUGGCAUAUACAAAGAGAAGCGACCUCGCGAGAGCAAGCGGACCUCAUAAAGUAUGUCGUAGUCCGGAUUGGAGUCUGCAACUCGACUCCAUGAAGUCGGAAUCGCUAGUAAUCGUAGAUCAGAAUGCUACGGUGAAUACGUUCCCGGGCCUUGUACACACCGCCCGUCACACCAUGGGAGUGGGUUGCAAAAGAAGUAGGUAGCUUAACCUUCGGGAGGGCGCUUACCACUUUGUGAUUCAUGACUGGGGUGAAGUCGUAACAAGGUAACCGUAGGGGAACCUGCGGUUGGAUCACCUCCUUA
rnacentral:rRNA from 2 species